AUUUAUAUAAUUUAAAUAAAAUAUUACAUUUUCAUUGUAAAAAUAGAAUAAUUUCUUAUAAAUA
rnacentral:tRNA from 1 species